rnacentral:rRNA from 1 species
GUGGGGAAUAUUGGGCAAUGGGCGCAAGCCUGACCCAGCAACGCCGCGUGAGGGAAGAAGGUUUUCGGAUUGUAAACCUCUGUCCUUGGUGACGAACACAAUGACGGUAGCCAAGGAGGAAGCCCCGGCUAACUACGUGCCAGCAGCCGCGGUAAUACGUAGGGGGCAAGCGUUGUCCGGAAUGACUGGGCGUAAAGGGCGUGUAGGCGGCCGAUUAAGUCUGGAGUGAAAGUCCUGCUUUCAAGGUGGGAAUUGCUUUGGAGACUGGUUGGCUUGAGUGCGGAAGAGGCAAGUGGAAUUCCCAGUGUAGCGGUGAAAUGCGUAGAGAUUGGGAGGAACACCAGUGGCGAAGGCGACUUGCUGGGCCGUAACUGACGCUGAGGCGCGAAAGCGUGGGGAGCGAACAGGAUUAGAAACCCGGGUAGUCC